rnacentral:sRNA from 1 species
UACUACUAAAAACCAAGUACGGGCGUUGAGGGUUACUCUACGCCCGUUUCCGUAUAUUACGGGUAAAUAUGAAUAU